rnacentral:rRNA from 1 species
UAGGGAAUCUUCCACAAUGGACGAAAGUCUGAUGGAGCAACGCCGCGUGAGUGAAGAAGGGUUUCAGCUCGUAAAGCUCUGUUGUUAAAGAAGAACACGUAUGAGAGUAACUGUUCAUACGUUGACGGUAUUUAACCAGAAAGUCACGGCUAACUACGUGCCAC